rnacentral:rRNA from 1 species
GACGAACCACCCAAACGUUAUUCGGAAUUACUGGGCUUAAAGGGUGCGUAGGUGGCGCGCUAAGUCAGGUGUGAAAUUUCGGAGCUUAACUCCGAAACUGCAUUUGAUACUGGCGUGCUUGAGGACUGGAGAGGAGACUGGAAUUUACGGUGUAGCAGUGAAAUGCGUAGAGAUCGUAAGGAAGACCAGUGGCGAAGGCGGGUCUCUGGACAGUUCCUGACACUGAGGCACGAAGGCCAGGGGAGCAAACGGG